rnacentral:rRNA from 1 species
GACGAACGCUGGCGGCGUGCUUAACACAUGCAAGUCGAGCGCUGAAGCACCUUCGGGUGUGGAUUAGCGGCGAACGGGUGAGGAACACGUGAGGAAUCUGCCUUCCACUCUGGGAUAACUCCGGGAAACCGGGGCUAAUACCGGAUACUUUCAACUGGCGGCAUCGCCGGUUGAAGAAAGUUUUUCGGUGGAAGAUGACCUCGCGGCCUAGCAGCUUGUUGGUGAGGUAAUGGCGCACCAAGGCGACGACGGGUAGCCGGCCUGAGAGGGCGAACGGCCACACUGGGACUGAGACACGGCCCAGACUCCUACGGGAGGCAGCAGUGUGGAAUAUUGGGCAAUGGAGGAAACUCUGACCCAGCGACGCCGCGUGAGGGAUGAAGGCCUUCGGGUUGUAAACCUCUUUCAGCAGGGAAUAAGCGAAAGUGAAGGUACCUGCAGAAGAAGCACCGGCUAACUAUGUGCCAGCAGCCGCCGUAA